rnacentral:rRNA from 1 species
UACGUAGGGGGCUAGCGUUGUCCGGAUUUAUUGGGCGUAAAGAGCGUGUAGGCGGCCAGGUAGGUCCGGUGUGAAAACUCGAGGCUCAACCUCGAGACGUCGGCGGAAACCAUCUGGCUAGAGUCCGGAAGAGGAGAGUGGAAUUCCUGGUGUAGCGGUGAAAUGCGCAGAUAUCAGGAAGAACACCCGUGGCGAAGGCGGCUCUCUGGGACGGUACUGACGCUGAGACGCGAAAGCGUGGGGAGCGAACAGG